rnacentral:rRNA from 1 species
UACGGAGGGUGCUAGCGUUGUUCGGAAUUACUGGGCGUAAAGAGCUCGUAGGCGGCUUGUCGCGUCGUCCGUGAAAACCCACAGCUCAACUGUGGGCUUGCGGUCGAUACGGGCAGGCUAGAGUUCGGUAGGGGAGACUGGAAUUCCUGGUGUAGCGGUGAAAUGCGCAGAUAUCAGGAGGAAUACCGGUGGCGAAGGCGGGUCUCUGGGCCGAUACUGACGCUGAGGAGCGAAAGCGUGGGGAGCGAACAGG